ACUGGGAUAACAUGCCGAAAGGCGUGCUAAUACCAGAUAUGACCACGGCCUCGCAUGGGGCAGUGGUAAAAGGAAUGGCAGCAAUGCUAUCGCUCUGGGAUGGGCCUGCGGGCUAUCAGCUAGUUGGUGGGGUAACGGCCUACCAAGGCUAUGACGGCUAGCCGGCUUGAGAGAGUGAACGGCCACACUGGAACUGAGACACGGUCCAG
rnacentral:rRNA from 1 species